rnacentral:rRNA from 1 species
AGUGAACGCUGGCGGUAGGCCUAACACAUGCAAGUCGAACGGCAGCACAGUAAGAGCUUGCUCUUACGGGUGGCGAGUGGCGGACGGGUGAGGAAUACAUCGGAAUCUACUUUUUCGUGGGGGAUAACGUAGGGAAACUUACGCUAAUACCGCAUACGACCUACGGGUGAAAGCAGGGGAUCUUCGGACCUUGCGCGAUUGAAUGAGCCGAUGUCGGAUUACCUAGUUUGCGGGGUAAAGGCCCACCAAGGCGACGAUCCGUAGCUGGUCUGAGAGGAUGAUCAGCCACACUAGAACUGAGACACGGUCCAGACUCCUAGGGGAGGCAGCAGUGGGGAAUAUUGGACAAUUGGCGCAAGCCUGAUCCAGCCAUACCGCGUGAGUGAAGAAGGCCUUCGGGUUGUAAAGCCCUUCUGUUGGGAAAGAAAAGCAGCAGGUUAAUACCCCGCUGUUCUGACGGUACCCAAAGAAUAAGCACCGGCUAACUUCGUG